rnacentral:rRNA from 1 species
AUUGAACGCUGGCGGCAGGCCUAACACAUGCAAGUCGAGCGGAUGAAGGGAGCUUGCUCCUGGAUUCAGCGGCGGACGGGUGAGUAAUGCCUAGGAAUCUGCCUGGUAGUGGGGGAUAAUGUCCGGAAACGGGCGCUAAUACUGCAUACGUCCUGCGGGAGAAAGUGGGGGAUCUUCGGACCUCACGCUAUCAGAUGAGCCUAGGUCGGACUAGCUAGUUGGUGGGGUAAAGGCCUACCAAGCCGACGAUCCGUAACUGGUCUGAGUGGAUGAUCAGUCACACUGGAACUGAGACACGGUCCAGACUCCUACGGGAGGGAGCAGUGGGGAAUGUGGGACAGUGGGGGAAAGCCUGAUACAGCCAUGGGGCGUGUGUGAAGAAGGUCUUCGGAUUGUAAAGCAGUUUAAGUUGGGAGGAAGGGCAGUAAGUUAAUACCUUGCUGUUUUGACGUUACCAACAGAAUAAGCACCGGCUAACUUCGUG